CUGAGCGACGAGCCACUGCUGAUGAAGAUGCACGUGAGGUCGUCAUGAUGAAGAAGGCUUUGUUUCAGGGGGCGCUUGAUGAGUUCAGCUGGAGGAGGAAGAGGACGGAUGGAGGAAUGUUCCAGAAUGCUGAUACUGGGGGGACAGAUCACAAACACACACACACACACACACAGAGUCAGUCAGUGAUCCGGGUGGAAUCAAAGGGUAUUAGCUGUGCAGUGUUCAGUUCCCCGCUCUUUUCCCAGCAUUCUCCACAGCUGUACGAUUACACAGGUGUUUGGCAAAAACACACUGUUAGAGACCGCGGAGGGGCUGAGCCUGUGUGUGUGUGUGUGUGUGUGUGUGUGAGAGAUGAAUAUGUAUGUGUGGUUGCAUGCAUUUACUGUGUGUGUGCGCGCGCCACGUCCCUUCAGGAAUGUGUGUUCAUGUGUGUGCAUAUCUGUGUGUUUGUACUAUUAAUUCCUCUCAGUGACUCAGCCCUGCUAUUUCCUUGACCACCACCAUCAUCAUAUUUUAAAUUUGCUCAUGUCGUGUACUUCUUUUUUUCCCCUUCAUUCACAUCUGCUCUCUCUCUCUCUCUCUCCAUUAAUCAUCUCAUAUAGUUUGUUCCAGUUGUUGCCUCGGACGUCUGAAGUCUGAAGUCAGACCUGGAAAUGAUGUCACACUCGCUUCAGUUUCCACAAAUAAUCUGGCUAUUCUGUGGAUGGUUUUUCCUGCGGCGCGGUUUUGAUCCACGCGUGACACCGUGUCCAGUGUCAGGGCGUAACUUUGUGUUCCCGCUCCGUUUCAAGGUGAACGCUCUCAGACUAAACCAGGAUGUGUUUGCUUGCACGUUAUGUAACCUUUUUCUUUCCCUGAGUUCACAGAGUGAUAAUGAGAAGAGGAGCAGACAGACAGAGAGAGAGGAGGAGGACGAC